AUUGAACGCUGGCGGCAUGCCUUACACAUGCAAGUCGAACGGCAGCACGGGAGCAAUCCUGGUGGCGAGUGGCGAACGGGUGAGUAAAGUAUCGGAACGUGCCCAGUCGUGGGGGAUAACGUAGCGAAAGUUACGCUAAUACCGCAUACGAUCUAUGGAUGAAAGCGGGGGAUCGCACGACCUCGCGCGAUUGGAGCGGCCGAUAUCAGAUUUGGUAGUUGGUGGGGUAAAGGCUCACCAAGCCGACGAUCUGUAGCUGGUCUGAGAGGACGACCAUCCACACUGGGACUGAGACACGGCCCAGACUCCUACGGGAGGCAGCAGUGGGGAAUUUUGGACAAUGGGCGAAAGCCUGAUCCAGCCAUGCCGCGUGCAGGAUGAAGGCCUUCGGGUUGUAAACUGCUUUUGUACGGAACGAAAAGGACUGCCCUAAUACGGUGGUCCCAUGACGGUACCGUAAGAAUAAGCACCGGCUAACUACGUGCCAGCCGCCGCGGUAACAC
rnacentral:rRNA from 1 species